ACGAUGCUUUCGGGCAUAGUGGCGCACGGGUGCGUAACGCGUGGGAAUCUGCCCUUGGGUUCGGAAUAACAGUGAGAAAUUGCUGCUAAUACCGGAUGAUGUCUUCGGACCAAAGAUUUAUCGCCCAGGGAUGAGCCCGCGUAGGAUUAGCUAGUUGGUGGGGUAAUGGCCUACCAAGGCGACGAUCCUUAGCUGGUCUGAGAGGAUGAUCAGCCACACUGGGACUGAGACACGGCCCAGACUCCUACGGGAGGCAGCAGUGGGGAAUAUUGGACAAUGGGCGCAAGCCUGAUCCAGCAAUGCCGCGUGAGUGAUGAAGGCCUUAGGGUUGUAAAGCUCUUUUACCCGGGAUGAUAAUGACAGUACCGGGAGAAUAAGCUCCGGCUAACUCCGUGCCAGCA
rnacentral:rRNA from 1 species